AUCCAGCUGACGAGUACUAAACAGGAAGAAACGCGCUUCCUGGAU
rfam:Schistosoma curassoni strain Dakar, Senegal genome assembly, scaffold: SCTD_scaffold0003114